rnacentral:rRNA from 1 species
UGGGGAAUAUUGGACAAUGGGCGAAAGCCUGAUCCAGCCAUGCCGCGUGUGUGAAGAAGGUCUUCGGAUUGUAAAGCACUUUAAGUUGGGAGGAAGGGCAGUAAGCGAAUACCUUGCUGUUUUGACGUUACCGACAGAAUAAGCACCGGCUAACUCUGUGCCAGCAGCCGCGGUAAUACAGAGGUUGCAAGCGUUAAUCGGAAUUACUGGACGUAAAGCGCGCGUAGGUGGUUCGUUAAGUUGAAUGUGAAAGCCCCGGGCUCAACCCAGGAACUGCAUCCAAAACUGGCGAGCUAGAGUAGGGCAGAGGGUGUUGGAAUUUCCUGUGUAGCGGUGAAAUGCGUAGAUAUAGGAAGGAACACCAGUGGCGAAGGCGACCACCUGGGCUCAUACUGACACUGAGGUGCGAAAGCGUGGGGAGCAAACAGG